GACGAACGCUGGCGGCGUGCUUAACACAUGCAAGUCGAACGGAAAGGCCCUGCUUUUGUUGGGUUCUCGUUUGGCGAACGCGUGAGUAACACACGUGUAUCCUCCCCUUGUCUUUGUGGUAACUUCUGGAAACUGGGGCUAAUACCCGGGAUGAUCUCCUGCUGCGUGGUGGUCAUUGGUGAGAUUCGGCGGUGGGGGAUGGUGUCGCGGCUUCUCCGCUUGUUGGUGGGGUAGUGGCUUACCAAGGCUUUGACGGGUAGCCUGCCUGGGAGGGUGACCGGCCACAGUGGGACUGAGAUACGGCCCAGAGGGCUACGGGAGGAAGGAGUGGGGACUAGUGCGCAAUGGGCGGAAGCAUGAUGGAGCAACGUCGGGUGGGGGAUGACGGCUUUCGGGGUGGAAACCGUUUUUGAGUGUGAAGAAGCGUGAGUGACGGUAAUGGGCAAAGAAGCACCGGUUAAUUCCGU
rnacentral:rRNA from 1 species